AGCAGCCGCGGUAAUUCCAGCUCCAAUAGCGUAUAUUAAAGUUGUUGCAGUUAAAAAGCUCGUAGUUGAAUUUCGGGAUCAAUAUGCUGGUCGUGCCUUUGGUACGUACUGGUAUUAUUGGUUUCUCCUUUCUGAUGAAUCACGAUGUCAUUAAUUUGGUGUCAUGGGGAAUCAGGACUGUUACUUUGAAAAAUUAGAGUGUUUAAAGCAGGCUUACGCUUGAAUACAUUAGCAUGGAAUAAUGAAAUAGGACGUUUAAUUCUAUUUUGUUGGUUUCUAGGAUUGACGUAAUGAUUAAUAGGGAUAGUUGGGGGCAUUAGUAUUCAAUUGUCAGAGGUGAAAUUCUUGGAUUUAUUGAAGACUAACUACUGCGAAAGCAUUUGCCAAGGAUGUUUUCAUUAAUCAAGAACGAAAGUUAGGGGAUCGAAGACGAUCAGAUACCGUCGUAGU
rnacentral:rRNA from 1 species